AGUGAACGCUGGCGGUAGGCCUAACACAUGCAAGUCGAACGGCAGCACAGUAAGAGCUUGCUCUUACGGGUGGCGAGUGGCGGACGGGUGAGGAAUACAUCGGAAUCUACUUUUUCGUGGGGGAUAACGUAGGGAAACUUACGCUAAUACCGCAUACGACCUACGGUUGAAAGCAGGGGAUCUUCGGACCUUGCGCGAUUGAAUGAGCCGAUGUCGGAUUAGCUAGUUGGCGGGGUAAAGGCCCACCAAGGCGACGAUCCGUACCUGGUCUGAGAGGAUGAUCAGCCACACUGGAACUGAGACACGGUCCAGACUCCUACGGGAGGCAGCAGUGGGGAAUAUUGGACAAUGGGCGCAAGCCUGAUCCAGCCAUACCGCGUGGGUGAAGAAGGCCUUCGGGUUGUAAAGCCCUUUUGUUGGGAAAGAAAAGCAGCAGGUUAAUACCCCACUGUUCUGACGGUACCCAAAGAAUAAGCACCGGCUAACCUCGUG
rnacentral:rRNA from 1 species